GAAAUUACCUCCGUACCCGUGUCACACGGACCGUGGCGAGAGUUUAACAAAAGAAACAUGUUUAAACCCAGAGAUGGACUCUCUGUUAUACUGAUGCCACGACGGUCGAAGCAGAGCUUCUCGAUCCGAUACCACGUUGUUCCAGAGACAGCCUAGUGAAGCUGGAUGAGCAGAUACAGAUGUCACCCAAUUGGACACUUAUCGGAGAUUCUGGAGUGGUGCCUGAGAUAGUGUUUUCCACCACCAUCAACAACAAAUGACAGAAUUUCCAUGGAAGAACGGUGUCGCAUCACUCCAAUAGAGUUCCAGACACUUGCAAAAUCUAUGCCAAGGUGCCCUGAAGCUGUUCUGGUUUGUGGUGGCCCAACGCCCUGUUAAGACACUUUAUGAAGUGACAGACAGGAGUGGACAGUGACAGAGUGACAUGCUCUGACCCAUAAGCGAGGGACGGCGCUGCAUCU